AAAUAGAAAUUAGAGAACCCAGAAAGGUUUUGAAAAAAUUUUUAGUUCUUCCUGGCAAUUGCAUGUAUAUUUUUUUCUGCAUGUUAUUUGGAUGUGAGGAGCUGUCAUUAUUAUUUUAGGAACAAAUAUGAAACAAUCUCUGGAAAAUGGAAUUUGAUUUUGAUUCAACAACAGGAGAAUUCUACUGUUUUUCUCCAGCAGCUCCACGAUAAAAGGGAACCCUGAGCAGAACACAUGCACAAACUCAUGCCAUACCCUAAGGGACAAGGUUCCCCACAUCUACUUGGAAAUCUUUGGGAUGCUCAAUGCGUACGACCACCACUUUCCGGCCCAGCAGUACCUGUUUAGCCACGAUGGCCGCCAGGCGGACCAGGAGAUGGCCUCGACCAUCGAGCACCAGGACCUGCACCUCCGCCAUCUUCGGCAGCCGCUUGGGAAAAAGCGCUUCUCCCAUUUUUAAAGCUAUGUCCCACGUCUUCUCCAUUUCACCCCAGGUGGAGCUGCAGCCCAGCUGGAGACACAAACGUUCCCAUUUGUAGCUGAGAAGUCCCUGUUUGGUGGAUCAUGGGCUCCUUCCACUGGUUUUGGGUCAUGCUCACAGCUCACUGCAGCCUCAACCUCCUGGGCUCAAGCCAUCCUCCCACCUCAGCUUCCCAAGUAGCUGGGACUACAGGCAUGAACCACCAUGUCCAGGAUUUUGUAUUUUUCAUAGAGAUGAGGUUUCUUGAAUAUGUCCUUAAUAUUGGUUAAAAGAGUGCAUACAUCUGAGGCUUUUGCUAGAGUCACUUUGAAUCACCAUGGAAGACUGUGGGGGUAGUUCUAUGAGAAUUUAAUGAAUUUUCAGUGCAGGGCAAAUGUAGGAAAGAAACUCAAUACUUGAUUUAAGACGUAGGAAUAAAAUGUUAUUUCAGGAACAUAAAUCAAAAUUUAUUGUUUCCUGAAAUGUAUGUUCUAAGUGAAUUAGGUGUUCUGCAACUUAUUUAAUAGCAUUGAAAGUAUAAAAAAUAAAUUUUGAGAUACAUUUGUAGUCUAAUCAGAUAUUGGGAUGCUCAACUCCCAUUUACUGCAGCGAUAGCUAGUCAUAGUGAAAUAUAAUACACACACACACACACACACA
rnacentral:lncRNA from 1 species